rfam:Streptomyces decoyicus strain NRRL 2666 P029contig77.1, whole genome shotgun sequence.
GGGGAAGCCGGUCGAAGUCCGGCGCUGACCCGCAACGGUAGGCGGAAGGUCUCCUUCCGCAAGCCCGACUGCCC